rnacentral:misc_RNA from 1 species
AACACUGUUAACCUGCGGUACCUGCGGAGGGAUCAUUACAAGAAGCCGAAAGGCUACUUCAAACCAUCGCGAACUCGUCCAAGUUGCUUCGGCGGUGCGGCUCCCCCCCGGGGUGCCGCGGCGCCGCGCCCUCCGGGGCGCGGGGCGCCCGCCGGAGGUCUCAAACUCUUAUGGAUUAUAGUGGUAUCUCUGAGUAAAACACAAAUAAGUUAAAACUUUUAACAAUGGAUCUCAGAUCGG